rnacentral:rRNA from 1 species
UACGGGGGGAGCAAGCGUUGUUCGGAUUUACUGGGCGUAAAGGGCGCGUAGGCGGCCAACUAAGUCAGACGUGAAAUCCCUCGGCUUAACCGGGGAACUGCGUCUGAUACUGGAUGGCUUGAAUCCGGGAGAGGGAUGCGGAAUUCCAGGUGUAGCGGUGAAAUGCGUAGAUAUCUGGAGGAAUACCGGUGGCGAAGGCGGCAUCCUGGACCGACAUUGACGCUGAACGGCGAAAGCUAGGGGAGCAAACGGG